CCGGCACCCAGGCUCUUGUUAAAACGCACCGCUUCGUGUUAGCUGUUGGGGAGCUCUCGGGAUUCCAACCGAUACAAGAACCUUUCAGAGGCAGGGGGCCCUGGGCUGUGACUCAGGCCCCAGGAAGCUGGUGACUCCCAGACCAGCCCUCUAAUGACUCACAGCGACUGCAGGCUCGGCAGCUCCCACAGCGCCUCUGCGGGGAUUCCUCCCAGCUGAUUGUUCUGCAGCAUCCUACGGGAGAAGAGAAAGGGCUUUAAGGACGCACAUCCAGGAGGCUACAUCUGGUCACUGCACAGCUCUGAAAAGCAAGCAAUGGAAGGAAAUACGAGGGAAAUUGACAUCAGACAUCAGAAAGUAAUUCGUGCCUAGGAUGCAGGUGGAAUCUUCUGCUUUGAAGCAUGUAAGAGGAUAAUUCCCCAAGACCACCCAACCCAUCCCUAA
rnacentral:lncRNA from 1 species